rnacentral:rRNA from 1 species
CUACGGGUGGCAGCAGUGAGGAAUAUUGCACAAUGGGGGGAACCCUGAUGCAGCAACGCCGCGUGGAGGAUAACGCAUUUCGGUGUGUAAACUCCUUUUAUAUGUCAAGAAAAUGACGGUAGCAUAUGAAUAAGCACCGGCUAACUCCGUGCCAGGCAGCCGCGGUAAUACGGAGGGUGCAAGCGUUACUCGGAAUCACUGGGCGUAAAGGACGCGUAGGCGGGUUGGAAAGUCAGGUGUGAAAUCCUACAGCUUAACUGUAGAACUGCACUUGAAACUUCUAAUCUAGAGUAUGGGAGGGGGAGAUGGAAUUAGUGGUGUAGGGGUAAAAUCCGUAGAUAUCACUAGGAAUACCUAAAGCGAAGGCGAUCCCCUGGAACAUUACUGACGCUAAGGCGUGAAAGCGUGGGGAGCAAACAGGAUUAGAUACCCCUGUAGUC